rnacentral:lncRNA from 1 species
CAAGGUGAUACACUAGGCCGAAUAAAACCCUUAUAAAGAAAUUCCUAUUAACUGAUCCUUCAACUUCUUCAACUCAGGAGGAGCCAUACGGUAAGGAGGAGUAGAAAUGGGUUGAGUGCCCGAUAACAAAUCAAUGCCGAAAUUGUCACGCCACAGGUGCGACCGGCGCUCAGUCGAGUGAACCCAACUAAGCAAGUCUUAUCAAACGCUUCCUACCUAACUCAAUAUGAAUAAGUAAACCAUGCUUCCAUUUAUUUAGACGAGGAAAGAUAGUACAUUCAACGUUGUUAGUUCAUUUUAUAUCAUAACGUUAAGACGUAGUUAAGUUCCAAGAUUCCAUACAAUUACACUUUAGAGAAGCAAGAGUUAGAAUUACAACAUAGUUUGUAUACCCAUCCAACACCCAUACAUAACCCACACAUAUGUCUACGGAGCCUCUAAAGAUACGAAAGACAAGUAUGACAAUGCCGGCAACAAGUCUCCGGCUAUACCUCAAAAGUGGGAGUCUGCAACAAAAGAUGUACAAUAUAACCCCUUGAAGGUGAAAGGGGCUCACCAAGACAUUGAGAAGAAGGUACUCCGCUAUGCCCGAUCGGCACUAUCCGCAAUGGAGCCACCUACAUUCAUAUAAAAAUGUAGCGCCCCCGGCAAAAGGGACGUUAUUACCAUGGAAUAGUACUAGUAUGUCUAACUAAACACCAUCUAGUUAGAAACAACUUUCAUACCAAACAUAAGGAAAUCACAAGUAUAACUCAAAAGCUUUAAACGAUCACAACAUUAUCAAGGUAAGAGAAUCAUACAAUUUUCACAUUUGUUUCCAUAACCUUUAGUUUGGGGCAUUUCAUACUGUUCAUUGUUGUUCACGAUACCACCGCUAGCUUGAACGGAGUCCGAUCUCGACCCGAUUGGCUAGGUUGCCUCAUUUGAGACAUAUACCUCAAUCACAAGCUCAUUCUCACUUACUGGAAUUCAAUAUCAGCACAAUACCACCAUGUGUAUGACAUGGCGUCCGAUCACUGCUCGAUCGGCUAGGCCGCCUUACCAAGGCGUUUCCCUUUUCCAUCAAUCAUCUCACUUAAAUCUUUGUUUCACAUAUAUUAUUUCAUAGGCAUUUAGGGCCACAACUAUCACGUCAUAUAUUUAGGAUUAGGCGACAUUUCACAUCAUUCCUAAUUUCAAUGUUAGAUUUGUAAUUUAGAGUAAUAUGUGCACACAAGAGCAAAUAACACUGUAAGCAUAGAGGAUACUUCACAUAGAUGGCACAACAUAUGCAUCUUCAAUCUCAAUUUAAGGUCUAAGUAUUUCAUUACAUGAUUCAUAUUCCUUGCCCCUUUUCAAGUUAUCAAGACUAGCACAUGGAUCAUAUCGAGACAUAUCUUUCACGUAUAUAAGGUCGCACCCCAAAUUCAUGUGAAACUACAAUCAAUACAACAAUUCAACUUUAAUCUUACCGUGUUUACACAAACACCGAUGGAGCUCAAUUUCUAAAAGACGGGGUUUUAGCCAUACAUACCUCAACUGAGCUUUCUCUAAUCCUAUAACAUUCCGGAAUGUUUGCACUUCAAUCUAUUUAAGAAAUAUAACACAAUUGAACCCAUAAUCAGGAAAAGAUUAUAAUCUAAGCUCACUUGAGCAUUUUAUCAAGCAUUGAGUGCUCAUUAAGGCCUUAUGGUCCUUUUAUGCAGGAUUACACUUAGCCCAUUCCCCAUGCUUCUCUAUUUAUAAUUUUCCCAUAUCUUCUAAGAACACAUGCAUGCAAUGAAACCACCCUUAUCCCUAUGAAUUUCUAACUAAUGUCCCCUUAUAGCUAUGUAUAAAAUUAAGAGCUGAGGUGAUGAAGUCUUACCUCAUGGGAUGAAGAUUUUGGUGCUCCACUUGAUUAUCUUUAAUGUUUUUAACAAGGAUUUGUGGAGCACAUUUUGAUGAAAGGCACUUCCCCUCUCUUAGACCCUCCCUCUCACUCUAAAAGCACCAGGAAAUAGGCUCAAAAUGAUCUAUUGCACAGAAUAUAACAACAGGGGGUCGGGUUUAAAAUUUAGAAAUUUGGAGCCCCGACUCAGAUCUAUGAUCGCAUAUGCGAUCGCAAAGUUGACAUGUGGCCCGCAUAAUGGACUGCAAAAAUGCUCCCAAAAACCUGAACAAUCUGCCUGGAUAUGCGACGAGAAUGCGGUCCGUAUACCCAUUCUAUGGUAGCAAAAGUUCCAAGGGAAUUAUACGACGACUAUGCGGCCCGCAUAUCGAUUAUGCGAUCGCAUAUUUGGCCGCAUAGGUGAACUCAAAAUUAACCUUCACACUGCCUGACUCUGCGGUGACUAUGAGGUCUGCAUAACUAUUAUGUGACCGCAGAGUUGACCGUAGAAUUGCACUUUUCUGGGACUGAAUCAACUAUAAGGGUAUCAAUACUGACAUCUCUCACAUAAGCUACAUACGCGUCACACCCCUUCUCAACCAUUCGCUGAGCCUUAAGUAAAGAAAUAACUCUACUGGGUGUGUGAUCUAAGGUACCCCUCCACUCUACUCGCGGUAUACGAGGCAUAGCCAGCGUCACGGUUUUGGCGUGACAAUCAGGAAUAACAUAAUGGGGCGACAACUAGUCCAUGGCCAAGAUAACAUAAAAAUCUAUCAUGCUGAGCAAUAAUAAAUCGACUCUUGUCUCAAAGCCACUAAGAGCAAUCAAGCACGACCUAUAAACACGGUCCGGAAAGUGCCAAGCAUAACCUCGGUCGAGUAGUGACGAGGAAGGUCAGGGCCCUACUAGUUAUAUAUAUAUAUAUAAGAGUAAAAAUGAGGUAAAACGGUAUGAAGUGCGACAAUAUAACUAAAGACACUGUCACACCUCCUUUUUACACACCCGAGGGCGUAUAAGGUGAGUUUUUCGAUUUAAGUGACAUUACUCGAAAUGGGAUUAAUUAUUUAUCAGAGUCGCCACAUGGAAUAAUUUAAUUGGUGUUCUAAGUCACCGAUUUAUUUUAAAUCCCAAAUCGAGGAAAUUUCGACUUUCCUUUUGAAGUCUGCGAACCAGAAAUUCUAGAUAAGGAAUUCUGUUAACCCGGGAGAAGAUGUUAGACAUUCUCGGGUUCCGUGGUUCUAGCACUGUCACUUAAACUAUUAAUAAUGGGCUUAAUUAUCUGAUUAAUUACAUGUUUUAACCUGAGGUGCAUUUUUUAACUUAUUAACCGCUUUUAACUAUUUUAAACGCUUUUAGGAAGAUUCAACGUCAUUUAAAACAUGCCUUGAACCACGCCACAUGAAAUGCACCCGCGGUCCACGAUACACUUUAUUUAACGUUGUUGAGAAUUGAAGAUGGGUCACAUGAAAUGCAUACUCGAAUUUAAUAAACAAAAGGAAACCAAUUUAAAUAGCGCGCUUAAAGCAACUACGAGAAUUCAAAUUAAUAACAAGUUUUGCGAGGGCCAUGAGAAAAUUCAAUUAAUGGCACACCUUGAGUUUUAAAGAGUUAACAUUAAUUAAAAUGAGGGCCAUGGGUUAUCUAACUUGCUUAUAGCACACCUCAAGUCUAAAAAGGAAUAGGCAUUUUAGAGGCAAUUGAAACUAAUCAAUAUACGCUUAAAAUAAUCCACAAUUAUUCAAGCUUAUUUAAUACUAAAUUAAUAAAUCAUAUGAGGGCCAUGGAUGAUAUGGUGAAAAUAGAACACCUCAAUUUAAUCAAAAGAAUUACUUUCACUUAAGAUUUUAAAACAUAUUUACGCGACUACUGAAACUGCGCAUAGGCCUUCAUGCGUUUGGACUAGGCCUGCUAUGGGCAAAACCAAGCAGUAGCAAUUAAAUGAGCUACUGGGCUCGAGAAGCAGGCCCAAGCAGCAUAUGGCAAUACCAUUCCCAUUUGCAAAUGACCUCAAGUCCAGACCCAAAGUAAAUCCCUAUUCUCAUGACAAAGAAACGAAAACUAAAUAAUAUGACAACAUUUAAAACUGUAAAGAGACCAUUUGAGCUCAACUAAUUAUCAACGAUGCACAGUAAUUAUAAUGUGAAUAAUAGGCUUGAAAGGCUACAAAACCACAUCACAUGUCUAAGAUAAAUUCUGUUUUUGAAUUCAAUUGAGCUAGUGAUAUGGAGGCAAAAUUGUGCAACAUUCUUAUGUACAUCAGUCCUAAGCUAGUUUCUAACUGAUUGUAUGAAAUUUAAAACCUCAGUUAAAACCUUCUACUAAUAGAAACAGUAGCGAAAACCCAAGAGAUUAACAUGCCAUUACUUUGAAUCUAAAAACUGCAUCAGACUCUUAACAAAAUCAAACAAAAAAAAAGCAGCAGUAAUUCAUCUUAUACUAUAUCCAUAACAUGAGAAGGCUAAUAUAACAUGCUUAAGAUUAAAUUAUUACAAGAAUACUAAAUGAAUGGAGGAACAGGGAAAAUAAAACUCAAUAACAACUUGUAUUCAAUCAUGUUUCACAUUCAAAUUGCAGAUGUACACUUCACAUGUUGUCUAUAGUUUGAAAAAUACCUGAAAAUCAAGAGGAAAACAAAGAGGAUGAAGAGUUAGCAAUAGCAGCAAAUCAACUCAACAACCCAACUUCUUCAGUCCAUACUUAAACCCCAAAAAUUUAUACAAGAUCUCUAGUGCUUUUACCCCAAUAAAAAAAUGAAAACUAGCUGACCGUACUCGAAAUUUUCUUGUGUUUUCUAGUUCUAAAACUCCUAUCAGUGUGUAUUUUUUUAGUUUUAUUUGAUGCAAAGAAAAUGAGGCUUUCUAAAAUCUGUCUUUCUAAUGAAGGAAGAAUCCUUAUUUAUAGGCCUCUAAGGCCAUGUGCC